GCUGGGCGUGGUGGCUCACGCCUGUAAUCCUAGCACUUUGGGAGGCCGAGGCGGGCGGAUCACUUGAGGUCAGGAGCUCAAAACCAGCCUGGCCAACAUGGUGAAAUCCCGUCUCUA
rnacentral:SRP_RNA from 1 species